UCAGGUUACCUGGCCCCAGACAACAUGCAUGCAUCUAAUUUUAGUCCAAACUUUAGGACUGGGCCAGGGCUUUCAACCUCAGCACUGCACAUUUGGACUCAGACCGUGGGUGUGGGGGAGGACUACACAUUUUUGGAUGUCUAGCAGCCUCCCGGCUUCCAUCCGACAGAUGCCAGAGCACAGUGCACUUCCCAUCGCACCAUUACCACCCCCUAACUGUCCUAGACCAUGGCUCCCCACUGGUCCGCUCCUGCCUGAGCAGCUGGCUCCUCUCUGGACUCACUGGCCACUACUGUGAAGCCGGCCAGGCUCAAGGUCCCAGGUGCUCUAUGACUCAGUGGGACAGACUGAUGGUAGAAUGUGGACCUGAUUCCAGACAAGUGUUCUUGAUAAGCACGUGUGAAAUAUUAUUUGUGAAAGAGAGGAGCAGUCGGGUCAUCUGGAGAGCGUGCCGUUGGCUGGUGUGAAGUCACGAGAGCCAGAGCAGGAUACAGGCUGGAACACACACGCUGGUGGAAAGGGUGCUAAAACUCCAUGAUGAUUAAGAGGUCAGCACCCCUCAAGGACUCCAGAGGGGAAAAAGGAGAGACAGGAAGUGGAGAGCAGUCACAGCGUGCGGGGCAUGCCAGGGGAUGGAACAGCCAUGAGCUGGGCCUGGAAGGCCAGCUGUGCUAUGAGGCAUGCAGAAGGGAAGGAGGAGCAGCUGCACCCGAGGAGAGCAGCACUGGCAAGACGGGAAGGCACCACUGUAGAGAAGAUAUGAGAGACAGGGACAAUGGCCUUGUCCAGCUCACAGGGGGUCCUGUGUAUGGGUGAGGAGGAAAUUAUGCAGAAGAGGAAGGUGAAGAAAGUAGCUCCUCAAAGUUGUGGUGAAAUCCUGGCUCACUCCCAGGCUCAAGUACGAAGAACUGAGUAGAAGCAGCAUAACACAGAAUCGAGGCCUGAGCCACAGCGCAGUCCACCCUGAAGACCUCCUGGAAGUGCACCCACUAGGAGGGACACUGAGGCCUUGGAACUAAACUAACCUUAGAAGUUCAGCCCACAGAAGGAAGACUGCAGCUUGUAGUCUGGACCUAACUAUGUCAUUUAAAAGAAAUUAUCAUUCCUCAGAAAACCUUAAUAAGACCCAGCAUCUCAGAAUGUACUAUUCAAAACGUCCAAGAUACUAUUAAAAAAUUAACCCAUAUACAAAGAACAAAGAGCCAGGAAAAUCUCCACAGCUCUCAAAAGGAAAGAUACCAACAGACACCAAUAUUGGGCUCACCCAGAUGUUGGCAUAAGCAGGCAAAAUUAAAGCAGAUGUUACACUAUGUUUCAUGAAGUAAGGGCAAACAUUACUGAAACAAAUGGGAAGACAGAAGUGUCCAGUGAAGAAAUAAAAGCUAUGAAAUAUCAGGGAAAUUUUACAACUGAGAAACACAAUGAUAGAAAUAAAUAACACAAUGGAAGGGACCAAUCGUGUAAUGGAGAGAGUGAAUUUAGAAGUAGAUCAAGGAUUAGACUGUCUAUAUCUUCUUCUGUGGAGAGAGAUAGUGAAUAUGUUAGACUCUGUUGGCCGUGAAGUCUGUGUCCCAACUACUGGCCUUUGCAAUUACAGCCACAGACAAUAUGUAAAUUAAUAGGCUAUGGUCUGAUAAAUUUUUAUUUACCAAAACAAAUAGGCCAGAAAACCAAAUAUUCUCAAAUUGUUUUUGUGGCCAACAUGAUCUUAAUAUUAAAAACAGACAAAUAUAAUGUUAAAAAUUAUUAACAAAUCAAAUUCAGCUUUACAUAAAAAGGAUAAUAUGGGGAAUGGAAGUGUGGUUCAACACUUAAAAUUCAAAAAGUAGUACUGUAUGAAUAGAUGAAGGAAAAGCUACAUGGAAAUAGACACAGAGAAAGCAAUGCACACUUAUGUUAGACUCACCAAACUAGGAAUAGCCGAGAUCUUUUUUAAUCUGACAAGGGACAUCUACAAAAAUCUGGAGUUACACACAUCUCAGUGAUAUAGUGUUGAGUGAGAAAGGAAAUUGCAGAAUAUUUAUAGCAUGAUAUGAUUUAUAUACAAUUUUAAUACAUGCAAAAUUGCUACAUGUUACUUAUGGAUAAGACAUAAAUGUUUCCAAGAGAAUAGCAACUAUUAAAUAGGUUAGUUCCUCAUCUGGAGAGGAAGAGAGGGCAUAAGGUCAAAAACUGUCCUGCAAGGAGCCCAUUGCUAUGCUUGAAUUCUUUUUUUAAAAAAUAUGAAUCAAACAUAACAAAAUGAUAAGACAGGAAGAGUUCAGUGGGAGAAAUAUGACCAUUCCUUACACUAUUCCCUAUACUUUUCCUACAUAAUCACUAUUUCAUGUUUUUUCAAAAUGUACAAGUACUCGCCAUUUAAAAUAUUUGAAGACUGGGUCAGUGAUAUAGG